rnacentral:lncRNA from 1 species
AUUCUUUUCAGGGACAGCUGUCUACAAAACGAAUGCUUUCCAUGGGGGAGCUGGUUGCUGGCUUUUGCUUUUUUAGCACGGUGUAAUAAAUAAUAAUAGUUAAUAAUAACAACAUACAAAAGGAAGCCAGGAAGUGGGAGUGUAGAGAAAGGGUUAAGCCGACUAAAAUGACAUCACUCUCAUUUGCAUAGAAGUGAGGAUAUAACCGCUCAUGCAGAGACAGCGCUUAUACUACAGUCCAGAGCAGCAGCUGCAAAGACUUGAGUUACUUCUGUGCAGAGCAUCAGUGAUUAAUCUGCAAAAAUGUCCGACAAACCAGAUAUGGCUGAAAUUGAGAAAUUUGACAAGACUAAAUUGAAGAAAACAGAAACGCAAGAGAAAAAUCCACUGCCUUCAAAAGAAACAAUUGAACAGGAGAAGCAAGCGGGUGAAUCGUAAUGAAAUCUGCCCUUCCAAAUUAUGCACUGUACAUUCCACAAGCAUUGCCUUCUUAUUUUACUUCUUUUAGCUGUUUAACUUUGUAAGAUGCAAAGAGGUUGGAUAAAGUUUAAAUGACUGUACUGCCCCUUUCACAUCAAAAAAUAGAGAGAACUACUGACACUGAAUGAAGGCGCGCUGCCUUUCCAUCUGCCUGUCUGGGUUUGGUCCUGGUGGCAUGAAAGAGCU